GACCUGGUUGGGCUGCAUCAGCUCAGGCGGCAGCAUUUGCGGCAAUUUGCAACUAGGGCACGCGAACUCCGUCAAAUCCGGGCCCACUGUCAGCACCAUCUUGCACCCCGCGCAACGCACCUGGCAACCCCCGCCGUUUCCUCCUGUAGAUUGGGAUCGCUGUGGAGGCGGUGCCGAUAUAGGUGUCGUCGGAGGAUGGAUAUAAACAGAUACUUAAAUUAUAUGAUAGAGACAAAACAAAUACAUAAUACAAUUAAAAAAAAAAAAAAAAGGGUUAUAAAGGACUACAAAAAGCUGACGGGUAAUUGGUACAAAAUGUCACCAUCAUUUGCAGUCCCUAUCAUUUCAAACUUGGCAUUUGCACCCUCAUCUCAAUAUUUCCUUGCGGAGCUGGUCCUUUCCAUCUCAUACUAUCAAUUCCUUUCGUCAAAUACGAGUAAUUUUUGCAAAACGUCCUAUCUUUUGCCUUCGUUGCGCAAAUCAUCCCUCUCGUUUCAAUUUUAGUAUUUGGACCCUCAAAUUGACCUUUCUUUGCGCAAAAGGUCCUUACAGUCUAUUUUCUCUAUAAUUCUAUUUUUGAGGGUCUAAAUGCUAAAAUUAAAAUGAUAGGGACGAUUUGCGCAAUAAAGGCAAACUAUAUGGACAUUUUGCGUUAAUUAACCAAUUGCAUUCUACACUAUGGAAGUAGGGAUGUCAAACGGGCCAAACGCCUCGGCCGCUUGGCUCGUGGGCGGCUUGAGCCGAGUAGGGGCUCAAUCCCAUGAGCAAAGCAUGGCUCGUCGAGCCCGCAAACGGCUUGUGGGCACACCACCCACAAGCCAAAGUUCACAAGCUCGUGAGCUCAUAAAAAAUGUGCAAAUUUACAAAAAAAUUUAAAAAAUUAAGAGCUCGCGAGGGGCUCGUGGGCUCGGCUGGGCUUGACUUGAGAACUCGUGGCUCCUGAGCUCACGAGCUCGUGGGUUAAAGGGCCAAGCCGAUCCCUAUAUGGAAGGUAAGAUAUAGCAUCAACAAUCGCGAACAAUUAAGUCGUAUAACAUAAUUAGCUCAUUUCAAAAUGCAGAAAUUGGGGAUAAUGCAAAUGCCGGUUAUAUAUAAUGGGGAAAAUGCAGAACAAACGGCUGAAAACCUAAAAUUGAUAGAGCCUUGAAUUAAGAAGACCAACAAUAUUACAAAAAACAAAGAAGAAAGCAACUGCAGAGGCACAAGAAAACCAUGUGCAAUGAAUGAUUGCCCCAUAAUAAGGGCUUCAAUUAACAACUACAAAGCUGAAUCUAUCCACAUUGCUGUCAAAUAUUAGAUAAAUCCAUGUUUCUUAUAUCCUCCAUGACAUGUAUCAUCUCCAAAAACUGGUCAUUACCCUCCCCCACUUAUAUAGAGCUUUUACUAGACAAUCCAAGAUAGAUCCUAGCAUUUACUCGUAUUCACUUUCAGUACUCCCCAAUUUUAAAUUAUCUUUCCUCAUAACUCAGCCCCAAAGGUGAAGGCAUCAUCUGAUUAAGGAGUCAUGUUCUUUAAACGAAGAAUAAGACAAGCUGCAAAAUGAUUAACUGCAUAAACUUUAGAAUAAUAAUUCCCAGAGCUAGAGAAUUUCAAGGGCAACCUGAGGUUGUUGAUAGUCCUCGCAACUAAAGUAAGAGUUUGAAUUAUAUUUCUUGCAAGCUUGUCAAUUUCUAAAGACAUCUGCAGUAAACUGAGGUGAUAAACAGAUUUCGAGGGUACUAAUAUUGUUGCUUUCCCAGUUCAUUUCACUCUUUUGUCACGAUUAUUGGCUUCCAAGUCUUGUCCUUGCCACCACACAGCCCAAAAAAUUGCCACUAAAUAUUCUAACAAACUUAAUAGCAAGCCUUUCAACAGAAUGGCUACCAAGCCAAUUCCAAUCUUCUAUAAUCUAACUCACACUCGUCAUCAUGGAUCUUCAAUAGCCCUUCCAAUAUGAAUGAUGUCUUACAUCAUAACAAAACUGCAGUUUUUCUACUGUGCAUUAUUCAAAAUGUAACAGGGGAUGAACAGUAGAUCUCCCACCAACCCAAGCUCCCGCUCCCCCCCCGCACAUGUGCUCGAAAAACCAAAGUUUUACACUUGAGUGUUAUCAAUAGCACGAGGAGUUAAAAUAUUGUCCUCUUUUCUUUUCUUUUAACGAUUACAUUCACUCACAUGAUUCAGCAAUCUGAUGGACUAAAUUUGCCACAUUCAACUUUCAAGUGUCAGGACAUCGACAGAACAAAUCAACCAGAUAUUUUUGGGUAUCAAUUAAAUGAACAAGGACGAUGGAGUAUCAGGUUGCUAAAGGAAUAGAUAGUUUCUAAAAUUUUAAAAAAGCUAACAUUAUCCGACUUAAUUCAUCUCUCUUCAUUCUUUGCCAGACAAAUUCGACAAAAAUGAUGGUUGACCAUCAUAGUAUAGGAUUCAACAGAAACAAAGCAAACCAACCUGGCAGAAAGACCAAUCAUUAUUCUCAAAGAUCUUAUAUUCAGUGAAAUAAGGUUUAUAGCUGAUAUAAGCGAACAGAAAUAGAGUUAGUGGAGGGAAGGGGAUGAGAGAGAGAGAGAGAGAGAUUCCGGGUCCCCCAGCUGCCAAGAUAUGCAGAAAUAGAAUGAACUGUUAGAUAUGUAGAAAUUCCUCUAUCACAUUCAGAUAUUGCCUUAUUAAGAUUCAGAUUAUUUCCUAUUAACAGAUUCUUAGGAAACCAUUUAUGUAAUGGUAUAGGCUGUAAUAUUUCAUUUUCUAGUUUGUAUAGCCAUUACGAUCUUUUAAAUAGCUGCACAUUAUUUCUUUUCUAUCUUGUAAUUUCUAGUCCUAUAAAUCUGUGACUAUCAUUCUUUUCAAAUUUAUAGAAGCUAUUAAGCCUUUUCCACAGGAAGAAAGCCAAAAGUAAAUAUAUCUCAUGGUACAGCUAAAGGAUUGAAAGUGAGACGUGUUUUUGACAAAAGUUCAAUUAUCUUUAGCAAAGUACGCACCUGAAUCUCGAGAACAGCUUCUCCUGUUCUUGUAGAUUGUCCUCCAGCUUCUGGGACCAAAUUUUUGGCUUUGUGACACUAAAAUAAGCAAUCAUAAAAGAUGUUGAAGAUUUCCUUGCAUGAAACACACCGAACUCACUUCAAGAUUAGCUUAUGCAAGCCAUGUUGAUAUAUUCAUUUUGCGAGAUCUGAUACCUCAUCAAAUAUGAUUAGACCAUCAUACUGAGGUCCACACCAUUGUACAAGCUGCUGCAAACGAGAACGACCCUUUUCAGAAGAUGCAAUGAGGCUGCUAUACGUCAAGAAAACAACUCCUUCCCUAAUGCCAACGGACUUUGAGUCAAGCUUAGAAUAAGGAAGCUUGUUCAAAGCAUGCACUACAAGAUAAAAAAAAUAUAUAUAAGAAAACUCAACUGAGAAAUCCUCUAAACAUGCAGUACAAGAUAAAAAAGUAUAAGAAAACCCAACAGAGAAAUCCUCUAAACCUCAAAUGGUUUAGGUUAACAAUAACAAAAUAUCCUCACUAUUGAACCAUAUUAUGAUAUCAGUGAACAUAUAUUCCCAGACAGAGAGGGAAAAAGACAAUAGUACAACAUAAUUAAAUUAUCAUCUUAUUAUUUUGUUUAACCCCUAGCAGAUCUGUAUACAACAAGUAUUAAUGUAUAUUGACCCAAUUAAAUUCGAAAACAUCACAAGCCGAAAGUAUAAAAUAAAAAUCAGGGGAUUGAAACUAUAUUAUUCCAUAUUUUACUUAAUAAAAAGGUAAUACCAAAUUAAGCCCUUGAUAUUGGUUGACCAAACAUAGACUAAAGAGAAGGUUGUCCUUGUUUAUUGCUUCCAUAUGCAGGUUUAUUCUCUUUCUUCCCCUUCCUAUGGUUUUAAACCGUGAACUGGUCAAAUUAUUGUGUACCCGUCUAACAUCAAACACCUUCAAUUAAGAUUCAAACAGCCACCACACCUAUCAGUCCUAAAAUUGAUGGAAGGAACAAAUUUGUGUAUUAAUAUAAUUCGCUAAUUCAAGAAGGUGCUUUCAAAAUAUAAAACAUAACAUGGACAAAUCACCUAUGAUAAUGUUUGUCUUAAUAAAUAUUGAAGUUUAAAUAUAUGCAACUGAAUGCCCCCCAUCCCUCCAAAAAAAUAAAGAGAAACUCAAUGACCCCAGAUAUAUGGAAGAAAGGGAACAUGAGAAAAUAAAACCCCAAUUUCAAGGCAGUUAAUAGAAAAAAAAGAAUGUACAAAAGCAGCAUGUACCUUCUAUACACAUUGCACCCACGUCAUCCAAGUCUCUCCUAGAAUCAAAUUUCAAGUCUGAACCAAUGGAAAUCCACCUGCAUAAGGUCAUUUGAAGAAGAAACAAUUUAGAAAUCAAGAUUAAUUAGAGACUGCAUCAGAGCUUAGCCAAUCACUGGUGCUCAACAAAAUUAAGAUAAGAACUUGUGUAACACCUAACUUACACUAACUAGUGAAUCUUACAGAACACUUACAAUGCUUUCCUUCUCCCUUGGUGCCAGUUCUCCCAUAUUAAGCCUGCAAUAGUUCGUCCUUUACCCACACCAGCACCAUCUCCAAGAAAAAAUCCAGCCCUUGCACCAUUCGGAAGGUGGUGAAGAUGCCUCUGUCAUGGAAACAAGAUAACAUUGUAAACAUUAAAUACAACAUACAUAUAUCUGUCUCUAUGUAUGUCAAGAUGUAAAAGCAACCUGACAAGCAUAGACCAAUGUUUCAAUUUGCAAGCAUGAUAGUGCUUUUGAAUUUUCCAGGUCAUCCUUAGUUCUCAGAUCAUAAGUAGGUUCAGGAGGCUGCACUGCAGAUAAGGAAGAUGUCUCCACAAUAGGAUCCGGAUGGGGAGGACCAAUUGACAGUUUGGGAGGACGCUGAAAAGAAAUACAGCUCAAUGCAGAGUGAAGGUAGCUAGAGAAAACAGAUUAUUCAAGGAGAAUAAGGACUCGUACGUAAUCCAUGAAAGUUUCUCCCACCAUUCCACCUUCAUCUUCUUCACGCUCAACUUCGACGGCUACCUGAAUGGCAUUAAAAGUAAAAUAUCAAUGAUUUUCUUUAAUUCCAAGAAAGUACACUAUUAAGAAAGAUAUCCUCUAAAACAAGCAACUUCUAAGGAUGAAAUUGAUAAUAAAAAUAUAUAAAAAAAUAGGGAUGGCAAAAAACUCCGUCAAACACAAUACCCACAGGCCCCCAUCCCGAACGGGUACCCGCUUCAUCGGGUAUUCGGGUCAGGGACGGUGUGGGGAAGUUCGCCCGGGGCGGCUAAGGGUAACAAAGGCCCCGCCGCGCCCCGUUUGUUUAUUUAUUUUUUGAAGAAUUCAAUACAUUAAAAGGAAAAGUCCACGAAAUUUCAUUAUUUCUAAUAAAAAAUGGCAACUAAGAUUAUCUAAGAAAUAUGACAAACAAUAAAAGCGAAGAACUAAUAUGGAAGCUUAAAGUAACAAAAAUGGUUAAACUCAUUCUUAGAGGAUGCAAAAUUCAAUGAGUAUAAUUGGAGUCAAAUGACAAAUAAGAAUGUGCAAAAAAAAUUUGGACAAGAAGGAGGAUCUGAAUAAAAGCAAUGAAUCGGAAAAAGAAAGAGAAAGAAAGAUGUUAGAUCUUAAUGCAAGAAUGUAUCUUCCGAUGCAUGAGUGGCAAGUAUGGAUACGAAUAUUUUUUUAUAUGACAAAAAGUUCCAGCAUGUACUUUUCUAUUAAGAUAUAUUAUUCUUCAUAAUUAUUUUUCUAGCAAGGAACGGUAACACGUUAAAUGGGAUCAGCAAUCAUCAAGUCACAAAUUAUGGUCUUUCUCAGAGGUUAUCUACAUUGAAUUUUAUUUUAUUUUACUUUUUAUCAGAACAUGGCAUGCUUGCCAAGUUAAAGAUAUAAUAUUUACAACGGAAUGUCGAAGUUCAUAACAUGAAUAAAAAUGUGUAGGGUAUUGAGUCAUUUGAAGACACGUAAUUAGUGAAAACCAUAUUAAAAUUUGUACGGUAAAAUAUCGAAGUUGCCCCUAAACUUUCCCCGAAUGUUUCUCAAAUCUAUUGAACUUUAAAAGUUUUCAGACUUGCCAAUGCCAAUGAAUAUUCCCAAAUGUUUCCAAGUUGCCAUUGAACUCAAAAAAUUUUUCUAGUUGCUUCUGAACUUACAAAAAUGUUAUUUCAUGUGUCAUUCGUUGUUUCAAAAGUUAACAGACUUAACUUUUUAAUGUGUAAUGGCAAUUGAGAAAUAUUUGAGAAAGUUCAAUGGCAACUCGAAAAAUGUUUAAAGUUUAAUGCCAAAUAAUAAACAUUUGGGAAAGUUUAGUAGCAACUAGGAUAUUUAACUCUCACUUCUUCUAUAUUGCAUAACAAAAUAUUACUAUUGUCAUUACAAAAUCAAUACUCUUAUUUUUACGGCAGUCAAUGUGAUGGGUACUAGUCCAAAUGUUAAAGCUGAAAUAGAAUGUGAGACCCUUGAUAUAUCCAAUGAAAUAUCUCAGUCAAGAAUGACAAGGUUCAAUCUUCAACAUUGGAAAGCUACCUUUGACCAACUUUUGUAUAUUCAGUCCCACCAAUGAUUGAACGUCUGGCUCAAUUGCUAGGUUAAUUAUUGUUGCACUAUGAACAAUAUACAUCCAUCGUUGGGGGAUAUCUAGUCCACUUCGAAGAGCUAUUGCAAAGUUAUGAUAGUUAUCAAGUUCCCCACAUUAUAGCGUCUAGGUUUCACAAAGGUUUAAAUCCUCAAAUCUUGACUGAAAACAUUCCAACACCUCAAUCCUAACUUUUUUCCUUUUUUCCUAUUAACUAGGUCUCUUAACUUUAAAGUAUCGAUUGAGACUAAUCACCAAAUAUGCUAAAAGUAAUAAUCUCACGAAACUUUCACAUGGACCACAGUGAAAUCCUAGAAGGUUUAUCUGAAUAGACAUCUCAUGAAUCUCUUUAUUAUUUAGAUUGGAGCAAAUUACGCAAGAAAAAUCCACUUAGAAACAAUUCAUAAUCAACUAUCACUUAGUCUUUCCAGAAAAUAAAGAGAUUCCUUCAUAAGGCAAGCCAUUGUUAUUACUUUCUAAACAGAGCACGAUUGAUCAUGAACUAAUAUCAAGCAUGGUCAGUAGUACACUUCGUUCCUUUUCUCAAUAAUCCACACGUGAAAUACACUUAAUUGGUGAUGUCCCAAAAAUUUUUAUUAAUGACACCCCAUUCUUGGCUAUUUAUUUGUUCGGGAAUCCAAAAUUCACAUCCCGAGCAAAGAAAUUCAAUGGGAUUCUCAAAAAGUAACAUAAAACAUUCCAAUUUCCAUGUCACUACAUACUUUGCUAACACUAAAAAUUAAAAGCAAAAAAAUAGGAGAAAUCAAAAGAGGAAACCUCAUUGACUUCUUCAGGAGGCGGGGGCAGGCGAAGAUCCGAAGAAAACUGUUGAAAUCUUGACAGAUCGACUGCCAGUUCAAUGCCGCACUGGGGACAAUUGAAGCGUGAUAAGCCAUGGGGAACAUUAAGCAAGGCCUUGCAGUGCGCGCAAGGCAGCUGUAUCUUCGUCGGAUCAAUGCCAUAUGCUGGAACAUUACGCAGUUGAUGGACCUGGACCUGGACCUGGACCUGGUUGGGCUGCAUCAGCUCAGGCGGCAGCAUUUGCGGCAAUUUGCAACUAGGGCACGCGAACUCCGUCAAAUCCGGGCCCACUGUCAGCACCAUCUUGCACCCCGCGCAACGCACCUGGCAACCCCCGCCGUUUCCUCCUGUAGAUUGGGAUCGCUGUGGAGGCGGUGCCGAUAUAGGUGUCGUCGGAGGAUGGAUAAUCGGGGGCGGCGGCGCCGAUGGCUGCCCCAUUUCGAUUUAUUCUGUCUCCAAAAAAAUUAAAAAUGUUAUUGAAUUGAAAAGGAAAAAAGAAGUA
rnacentral:lncRNA from 1 species